rnacentral:rRNA from 1 species
AGGAUGAACGCUGGCGGCGUGCCUAACACAUGCAAGUCGAGCGAUUCUCUUCGGAGAAGAGCGGCGGACGGGUGAGUAACGCGUGGGUAACCUGCCCUGUACACACGGAUAACAUACCGAAAGGUAUGCUAAUACGAGAUAAUAUGCUUUUAUCGCAUGGUAGAAGUAUCAAAGUUUUUGCGGUACAGGAUGGACCCGCGUCUGGUUAGCUAGUUGGUAAGGUAACGGCUUACCAAGGCGACGAUCAGUAGCCGACCUGAGAGGGUGAUCGGCCACAUUGGAACUGAGACACGGUCCAAACUCCUACGGGAGGCAGCAGUGGGGAAUAUUGCACAAUGGGCGAAAGCCUGAUGCAGCAACGCCGCGUGAGCGAUGAAGGCCUUCGGGUCGUAAAGCUCUGUCCUCAAGGAAGAUAAUGACGGUACUUGAGGAGGAAGCCCCGGCUAACUACGUGCCAGCAGCCGCGGUAAUACGUAGGGGGCUAGCGUUAUCCGGAAUUACUGGGCGUAAAGGGUGCGUAGGUGGUUUCUUAAGUCAGAGGUGAAAGGCUACGGCUCAACCGUAGUAAGCCUUUGAAACUGGGAAACUUGAGUGCAGGAGAGGAGAGUGGAAUUCCUAGUGUAGCGGUGAAAUGCGUAGAUAUUAGGAGGAACACCAGUUGCGAAGGCGGCUCUCUGGACUGUAACUGACACUGAGGCACGAAAGCGUGGGGAGCAAACAGGAUUAGAUACCCUGGUAGUCCACGCUGUAAACGAUGAGUACUAGCUGUCGGAGGUUACCCCCUUCGGUGGCGCAGCUAACGCAUUAAGUACUCCGCCUGGGAAGUACGCUCGCAAGAGUGAAACUCAAAGGAAUUGACGG